GAUGAAGAACGUAGCGAAAUGCGAUAAGUAGUGUGAAUUGCAGAAUUCAGUGAAUCAUCGAAUCUUUGAACGCACAUUGCGCCCUUUGGCAUUCCGAAGGGCAUGCCUGUUCGAGCGUCAUGAUCAAAUCUCAAGCCUUGCUUGGUAUUGGGUUUUCGUCUCUCUCGUCUUCGUACGGGUAUUGACGUGCCUGAAAAUCAAUGGCAGUGCCUUAUUAGACUCAAGCGUAGCAGACUGACACGCUUUAGAGAACUUUUGUAGGACCUGUCAAUGAAAUAAUAAGUUGGACCUCGGAUCAGGUAGGGAUAUACCCGCUGAACUUAAGCAUAUCAAUAAGCGGAGGA
rnacentral:misc_RNA from 1 species